UUUGGGCUCUUUUUAAAUGGAAACUCAAACCCACGUAGCUUUCUAGCCUUUAAUCUCCGAAGCGUUGAGUUUCGAUCUUCAGACUCUUCCACUUUUAAUCGUCACAACGUUACAGUAAUCCACUCUUCAUCAAUCUAUUAUGCUCUUUAAUCCUUUGAAACUGACUAAGAAGUGUGAACGGUGUAUUUCGAAUACUCCAACAGAUUCAUUUGAAGAAGACCGUGUUGAAGACAAAUCAGUAGCAAAUGUUUACAGAAAACCGACAGUUUACCAUAAUCUGCUGGUAUCUCUUGGUUUGUCUAACAAGGUUGUUUCUGACAUGAACAGAAGAAGGCAGAGAGAGGAGCAAGUUAGAAGCGACACAGAAGAAGAUGAGGAUGACGAAGACGAGGAAAACAGUGCUUCUGAGGAUAGAAGCUCUACAGAUGGAGAGGAUGAUGAGGAAGAAGAUUCUGAGUGUUCUGAGACAGACGAGGAGAAUGAGUUGCUCAGGGUGAUGCACCCUACGGCACCAAGCCUAAUUUAUUUGAGCACUGGAUUCAAUUGUACAAGGAAGCUGGAGGGGAGGAGUUUGGCUCAUCUGCAAGGAGAAGAUUCUUCUCCAUUUGCAACAGCUAUAUGGAUAUUUUGCAUUCUAACAAGAAACCCUUUUACAAUGGAGACCGUGGAGAAGGUUGAUUACUGAAGUUUGAAACUUGGAACAUGAAUCUGCGAGUUGUGUCUAAAUCUCGAUGCUUUGUUUGUUUGUCUCGGUGUCAGACGAAAUCAAGGCUACAGAUGUUGAUGUGAUCCCCAAGAUAUCGUUAUUUUGAUCAAAAUCGAUCCGACGACUUCCGUUAGUGACGUAGCUUCAUCACAUAUAAAAAUAUCAUGACACCUUCUGGAGGCUGUUUCCGAAAGGGUAUGGUGCCAGGUGCCAACACAUCACUCCCAUACCUUGAUGCUUACCUUCAGAUCAGGCUCCGUUUUUUUCUUAUAAAAAUGAUUUGUCUUUUAAGUGUUUAUGCAGGAUGAAGAGAAGCUUAGAAACAGCAAAAUAUGUGACAUGCUUUCAUAGCACCGUCUCAUCGCCUUGCUGAUUUCAUCUUCUCGCCUGGCAACCAUUGCCUGCAAUGGAGUGACAGAGAGAUAGAGAAUAGACGUUAAGCUGAAGAUCACAUCUGAUCUCAGGUUCGUAAAUCAAAUGAAAUAUAACUUUCUUAUCUUUUCUGACUUCAUGGUGGAGAUUAGGUUUAUUAGAGAGCAUCACCUUGGAGAAUAUGUUUCUUUUACUGCCGCUCUCUUUGUUUUGAUUGUGACUUGGAAAUUAUCUUUUCUUAUUGAUUUUUCCUCCAAUACAACACUUAUGUGAGAGUGCCAGUGUUGUCAUCGUAGUAGUAAAGUACGUUGAUCCAGCUGGAGAGUGGCAUGACUUAUUACCCUUCUUCUCCCAUUAUAAUUAGAGUGCUCAUGUAUUUUCCCUGU